rnacentral:rRNA from 1 species
UGGGGAAUAUUGGACAAUGGGCGGAAGCCUGAUCCAGCAACGCCGCGUGAGGGAUGACGGCCUUCGGGUUGUAAACCUCUUUCAGCACAGACGAAGCUGCCGCUACGUGUGGUGGUGGUGACGGUAUGUGCAGAAGAAGCACCGGCCAACUACGUGCCAGCAGCCGCGGUAAUACGUAGGGUGCGAGCGUUGUCCGGAAUUAUUGGGCGUAAAGGGCUCGUAGGCGGUUUGUCGCGUCGGGAGUGAAAUCCACUGGCUUAACUGGUGGCUUGCUUUCGAUACGGGCAGACUGGAGGUAUGCAGGGGAGAACGGAAUUCCUGGUGUAGCGGUGAAAUGCGCAGAUAUCAGGAGGAACACCGGUGGCGAAGGCGGUUCUCUGGGCAUGUCCUGACGCUGAGGAGCGAAAGUGUGGGGAGCGAACA